AGGCUGGAGUGCAGUGGCGUGAUCAUGGCUCACUGCAGCCUCAAUCUCCAGGGCUCGUGUGAUCCUACCACCUGAACCUCCUGAGGAGCUGGGAUCCUACUACCUGAACCUCCUGAGGCGCAAUAUGCAUUGCGCCACCAUGCCCAGCUAAGUUUUUAUUUUUCUUGUUGUUGCUGAGCUAGGGUCUUGCUUGGUUGUCCAGGUUGGUUUCACUCCUGAGCACAAGUAAUUCUCCCAACUUGGCCUCCCAAAGUGCUGCAAUUACAAGUGUGAGCCACCAUGCCCAGCUGUGUACUUUAGCAAUUCUAAAAACAUUUUUUUUCAUAUUCUAAGUGACACACUUAUUGCUGAAAUUGGAAUGUGUCAUUUGACCAACAACGUAUCAUAGUUUAACUGGCAACAUUUUUCUUUUCAGACGUGUGUAAAGUGUUGUUACUUCUUAUAACCAACACUAUUUUAGAUUCAAAAAUAUAGUAAGUUAUUUUGUAAUUAUUAGUUGAGGCAACAUAGUGAAAAACAAACUAAAACAUAUUAAAAUAUAAAAACUAAAAUAUUUGGCCAGGUGUGGUGGCUCACGCCUGUAAUCCCAGCACUUUGGGAAGCUGAAGCAGAUGGAUCACGAGGUCAGGAGUUCGAGACCAGUCUGGCCAACAUAGUGAAACCCCGUUUCUACUAAAAAAAUACAAAAAUUAGCAGGGCAUGGUGGCGCACACCUGUAGUCCCAGCUACUUGGGAGGCUGAGGCAGAAGAAUCACUUGAACCUGGGAGGCUGAGGCUGUGGUGAGCCAAGAUCAUGCCACUGCACUCCAGCCUGAGCAACAGAAUGAGCAGAAUGAGACUCCGUCUCAAAAAAAAAAAAAAAAAAAAACCUAAAAUAUUUAAAAGUGCUUUAUUUUAAAAGUUUCCAAAUGGAACACAAAAUUAUUUGAAGUGUCCUUUAAAGUUAUUGCUAAAAUCAGCUAAACCUACAAGUAGAAUUGAACUUACAAGUUAAACUCAAAAACUUAAUGAUAAAGUAAGAAUUUGAAUUGGUAACUUAAAGAAACCCAACAUUAAUUUUGGAAAUAAAAGAGAAUAUCUAAAAAGUAUUUUGUGUCUAUGAAAGUCACCCUUCUAGUCAGCUGAAAUUGCUCAAUUGGGAGAGCAUUAGACUAAAAUGUCACCCUUAAGUUCAACAAAAAGAUAAAAUACAAUUCAGAAGGCAAAAGUAGUAAGAAUAAAGGCAAAGAGUUACAAAAUAGCCUGACAUCUUCAAAAAACUGGGGUGUAGAAUGCAUGUGGGGAGAAAUAGUAAAUCAGUUAGAGAAGGUGGUGGAAGGUAGACAAGAAAGAAAUCUUAUGCUAAGCGCUUUCGAAAUUCCUCACAAUCAAUAGGACGUCUGAUUCAAUGUUGAUAGAAAUAUUGGGUGAGCAUCGUUGUGUUGUUCUUCAAGGGGGAAACAUGCUGUCUUUCACUGGUAAGUGUAAUGGUUGGUAGUUGAAAUUUUUCAUCAAUGCCCUUUUUCAGGUUGAUAAGUUUCUAUUUCUACUGAGAUUUUUAUCAUGAAUGAAUGUAGAAUAUAGUAGAAUUUUUUGAGCGUAUCGAGAAGAUCAAUAACUUUUUUCUUUUUCAUCUGUCGAUAUAGUCUAUUACACUGAUUGAUUUUCAAAUGUGGAACCAAUCUUGUAUUCUGAGGAUAAAACCCACAUGGCUCUGGUGUAUAAUUCCUUUUAUGUUUUGCUGAAUUCAAUUUACUAAUAUUUUGCUAAGAGUUUAUCUGCCUAUGUUCAUGAGAGAAAUAUUGUUUUCAGUUUUCUUAUAAUGCCUUGGUACAGCUUUUAUAUUAGGACAAUGCUGGCCUCAUGAAAUAAGUUGGGAAGUAUACAUAUAUCUUCUAUUUUCUGGAAGAGUUCGAAUAAAAUAAGUAUUAAUUCUUCUUUAAAUGAUGGGAAGAAUUCAUCGAGGGAAUCACCUAGACUUGGAAUUCUCUGAUAUUUUUACCCAUAAAUUUAAUUUAUUCAACAGACAAAAUGUUAUUCUGCUCCUCUAUUUUUCUUUCUUGAGUGAGCACUGGCAGUUUGUGUUUUUAAGAGAUUUAUUCAUUUCAUCAAUACUUCCAAAUGUGUUGGCAUAACGUUGGUGGUAGUCUUUCCUCAUCCUGUUGUAGCACUUACUGUGAUGUCCCCUUUCUCUCUUCUGACAUUGGUCAUUUUUAAUUUCUUUUUUUUCUGUUUUCUUUGAAAGAGCCAUCUUGGAUUUUAGUGGUUUGUCUGUAUUUAUUUUUCUGUUUUAAUUAUUUUUCCAUGUUUUUUUUUUCUUCCAAUUGCUUUGUGUUUAAUUUGCCCUUAUUCUGUUUUCCUAGGGUGGAAGCUUAGUUCAUUGACUUCAAAAUUUAUUGUUUUUUUCAACUAUAAGUAUUUAAUGCUAAGAAUUUCUCUCUAAAUACUAAAUACUGCUUUACCUGUACCCCACAAAUAUUGGUAUGGUAUGUUUUUAUUUCCAUUUAAUUCAAAAUAAUUUCUAAUUACUUGGUGCUAUGGUCACUGGAGGUUGGUAAGAAUUUUUGUUCUCUGCCCCAGCCUCAGUACUAGAAAGAUUCCAUGUCUCUGGGCCUUAAAAGUAGGGCUUUCUCAGCAUUUCUGCUGCCACUUUAUUAGAGGUUGAAUUGUGUCCCGCUCAGAAUUGGUACUGGUAACCCCUAGCAUCGCAGAAUGAAACCUUAAUUGGAAAUAAGGUCAUUGCAGAUGUAAUUAGUUGAGAAGAGGCUAUUAGGGUGGGCCCUAAUUCAAUGUAACUGAUACUCUUAUCCUCCUAUCAGAAGUAUUUGUUUUUUGCCUGGGUCCCUGUGGCUUGAGUGUUUCCUGUACUCUCCCAAAAACCAACAGUUUGAGAAGGGUGCCUUGUAUGACAGAAGAGGCCUGGGCAGUGGGCGAGGCUUUAUGCCCCACCCCAGCAGCAGCUGAUUUCCACCCGCUCACCUGCACCACUGAGGGGGAACUCUCUUCAGUCUCCUGCCCUGCCUGCAAUCCCUUCAUCUUUCAUAGGAGCUUUAUUUUUUAGGUGGGGCUUGUGAAAAAGAGCUUGCCAGUGCCUAUAAACUUCUUCAUGUGAGAGUUUCCAGUCUUUCUUAACUGAUAUGAUAACCCACAUUCAGCCUUUAAGAAUUAUUUUAACAUUUGAGCAGAUUUCUUUCUUAUCUGAGUCUAUGGCACCAGCCACUUCCUCCCAUGUUCCAUCAAAGGUAAGGAGUUUGUUUGUCCGUCUUCGCUCCUCAGAGGAGCUGACCCUUUGGAAUUCUGCCCAUUUUGUUGCUUUCAAAUCUCAGGUCCCGGUGGGCUCAAGAAAAGCAAUCAUUUUGUGCAUGAUCUGGCUUCUAUCUUAUUGUUGAGGUGGAAACAAUGGUAAUAUGGGUGUGUGUAUUUCUACCUUCUAGGUAGAAAUUGAACAAAAGCAUUCUUUGCUAUUAUACCUGGGUUGUUCUUCACUGUUCCCUGGGAAUCUGUUACGGAAAUUAUGCUGAGCUAAUAAUUCUGAUGGGAUGAUCUUCACUCAUGCAGACUGUGGCGUCAUGUAGAAGGAAGGCUAAUAUGGAUGUGAGGUUCAAGAUCAAGAUGGGCAACUGAUGGUCAGACUCCAGUGGUUCUUCAAAACUUUCUAGGAGGUAAACAAGAUGAAAGGGAAAGCACACAAAUUUGCUGGAAUUUGGAAAACACGAACCCUGGAAUUUGGAGGAGUCACUUCCACUGGAAAAUACUUUUAUAUUAUUUAUAGUGGCUACCAUUACCGUGCUCACUUUACAGGUGAGGUUCAGAGAUUUAUGUAACAUGCCAAAGGUCACACAGCUGGACACAGCAGAACCAAGAUUCAAAUCUGCACAGGGCCAUUUCAGUCCAAGGAGGAAUGGGACGCAUAGGUGACCACCAAAUAGUGAAGAAUAUGAAAAUCCAUGGUCAUCCCAGAAAAG
rnacentral:lncRNA from 1 species